rnacentral:rRNA from 1 species
CCUACGGGAGGCAGCAGUAGGGAAUAUUGCUCAAUGGGGGAAACCCUGAAGCAGCAACGCCGCGUGGAGGAUGAAGGUUUUCGGAUUGUAAACUCCUUUUGUUAGAGAAGAUAAUGACGGUAUCUAACGAAUAAGCACCGGCUAACUCCGUGCCAGCAGCCGCGGUAAUACGGAGGGUGCAAGCGUUACUCGGAAUCACUGGGCGUAAAGAGCGCGUAGGCGGGAUUGCAAGUCAGAUGUGAAAUCCUAUGGACUAACCAUAGGACUGCAUUUGAAACUGUUAUUCUAGAGUAUGGGAGAGGUUGGGUGAAUUCUUUGGGGAGGGGUAAAAU